UACGUAGGGUGCAAGCGUUGUUCGGAUUUACUGGGCGUAAAGGGCGCGUAGGCGGUCAGCACAAGUCAGUUGUGAAAUCUCCGGGCUUAACUCGGAAAGGUCAACUGAUACUGUGCGACUAGAGUGCAGAAGGGGCAACUGGAAUUCUCGGUGUAGCGGUGAAAUGCGUAGAUAUCGAGAGGAACACCUGCGGCGAAGGCGGGUUGCUGGGCUGAUACUGACGCUGAGUGCGCGAAAGCUAGGGUAGCAAACGGG
rnacentral:rRNA from 1 species